UUUCUGGACUGAUACAUACAUAAAUUAAAACAUUUUGAAGUAUAACUUCAAAAAUAUAAUAUGAAAACUAUUUAAAAAGGCAGUAUAACUAUUAACUAACCUUUGUUGUUUCUCUUCCCACAAAUUUUAAAACGCAACAACCAUACAUAACCAAACCAUCAACCGUCCAAACCACAGCUGCGCUACAGCUGCCAUAUUGGAUAAUUUUUGACAUGUCAUUUGAACAUCCAAUCAGAACAAAGUUAUAAUGCGCAUGCACCGGGAUCGUAGGUUUUAACAUAUAAAAAUUCACCCUCAUAUCGCGCGUACAGAAGUAUAACUUCAAUAAUAAUAAACACCUACAAAUAAGUCCAACAUGACUUUACCAUGACCUUAAUUUGCCUUAUUGUGUCUUUAAAAAUUUGUUUUUGUCGGAAAUGCGUAAAUAAGCUAUCAUAACUCCAAAUUGCAAAAAGAAAAAAAAAAUCAGUAAAGUAACACAAUAAAAUGCAUCUGGGUCAACACUAAUACCGUGUAGGCCCUCCUCUACGUCUUAUGACUGCAUUAUUAUGCGUCGAGGCAUGCUUGAUAUCAAAUGUUCAACAAAAGCUUGCGGAAUAUUCUCCCAUUCUUCAAUAACGGCCUCAAUGAGUUAGUUGUGAUUGGCAAUAGGGGGUCUACGACUUCGAAUCUUUUUUUUUUGAGAUAGUCCCAUAGAUGCUCUAUAGGAUUUAUGUCCGGACUGUUAGGUGGCCACUCUAAUAAUGGAAUAUCAUCAUCAUUUAGGUAGCCAAUAACCUGUCGAGCCACAUGAGGACGAGCGUUGUCUUGAAUGAAUAAAAAAAUUAGGUCCAAGAAACGGAGCAAAAGGCAUUACAUGUUCGACAACAAUGUUGUCUAAGUAAUAAUGGGCAUUCAUAGACCUCGUACGUAUGGGGACCAACUCCGUGCGAACUUCACAACAAAUUCCCUCCCAAAACAUUUUAGAGCCACCACCAAAAGGUACUUUAGGAGAGAUAUUGCAGCUGGCAAACCUUUCUCCUCGCCUUCGCCAGACACGCUCACGACCAUCUGGAGCUUUUAGGCUUACUCUAGUCUCAUCGGAGGAAAGAACUCGUUUCCAAUAAUCGAUGGUCCAAUUUUGUUGCAAUCUUGCAAAAUUCAAUAUCUGAACCCUGUGUUCUCUGGUAAGCAAGGGUUUUUGGACGGUUUCCUGUUGCUCAAUUCUGCUUCAUGUAAAUGUCUUCUAACUAUUCGAGACGAUAUAGCGACAUUUCGAACAUCUGCUAGUUCAUUUUUUAGCAAAUUGCUGGUGACUCUCCUAUCUCUAAGAGCACAUUGUCUCAAAAAACGAUCAUCAAUUGGAUUAGUGCAACGUUUUCGCCCUUGCCCUGGUUUUCGAUGGUACGACCCUGUUUCAUUAUAUCGCCUCACCUUGCGACUGAUGCUGGAAUGAUGUCUUCCUAACAAACCUGCAACGUAUCGCACUGAAUAUCCUUCAUCUAGGAGAGUCGAUGCUCGCACUGCCUCCUCCAUUGAUAAAUUUCUUUGGCGGUUUAUUUUUUUAUUUGAUUUUUAUACAAAUGAACUUCCAAACAUGCAUGUGAUGAAAAAUAUCACAAUAAAAAGCUUAUUUCUCACAAACUCUUGCUUUAUUCGGCACUUUUUAUGAAAAGUUUAGCUCACUUUUAGUCUAAAACGAAGUUUAAUACAUGCCCCGAGAACUCUAAUAAAAAACAUGUAAUCGUAUUUAUUUUCCUUCCAUUUUGCCAGAGGCGCUGAUGUCGGCAUUGUGAUUGGUGGAACAUGACUUUUGACAAAUCCUGCGUUAUCUGUGAAUCUGUGUUCAGUGUUCGUGUUCGCUCGUUCGUUGUCGUUCAGUUAUUUUCAUGUUAUUUUAUAUGGUCGGUUAUUUGUUGUGUUUGUGUCACCAUAAAAAGCUGAUAUUCAUGCAGUCGUGUUUUUUGAUAUUUUUGUUAUUUUGUAAUCGUGUAUCUUUUUAAAGGUCUAAUGGCUCCGUUCAGCUGUUGUGUGCAGACGGUGGAAAAGUUCAACAAGUAAACAUUUAUUUAAUCCAAAUUAAAUACUCAUAUUUCUAUGUAAAAUGUCACAUUAUUUUAUAAAUAAAUAAGUAAGAAACAAAA